GACGAACGCUGGCGGCGUGCUUAACACAUGCAAGUCGAACGAUGAAGCCUAGCUUGCUAGGUGGAUUAGUGGCGAACGGGUGAGUAAUACGUGAGUAACCUACCUUUAACUCUGGGAUAAGCCUGGGAAACUGGGUCUAAUACCGGAUACGACCAAUCUCCGCAUGGGGUGUUGGUGGAAAGCGUUAUGUAGUGGUUAUAGAUGGGCUCACGGCCUAUCAGCUUGUUGGUGAGGUAACGGCUCACCAAGGCGACGACGGGUAGCCGGCCUGAGAGGGUGACCGGCCACACUGGGACUGAGACACGGCCCAGACUCCUACGGGAGGCAGCAGUGGGGAAUAUUGCACAAUGGGCGCAAGCCUGAUGCAGCGACGCCGCGUGAGGGAUGACGGCCUUCGGGUUGUAAACCUCUGUUAGCAGGGAAGAAGAGAAAUUGACGGUACCUGCAGAGAAAGCGCCGGCUAACUACGUG
rnacentral:rRNA from 1 species